AACGAACGCUGGCGGCACGUUUUAAGCAUGCAAGUCGAAUGGCAGUGGGGGCAACCCCAUGAGAAUGGCGAACGGGUGAGUAACACGUAGGUGAUCUGCCUGACGGAUGGGGAUAGCUUGUGGAAACACAGGGUAAUACCGAAUGAGCUGACGAGACUUUGGUUUUGUUAGUAAAGGUGCUACGGCACCGCCGACAGAGGAGCCUGCGGCUGAUUAGCUAGUUGGUGGGGUAAAGGCCUACCAAGGCGACGAUCAGUAGCCGGCCUGAGAGGGUGUACGGCCACACUGGAACUGAGACACGGUCCAGACUCCUACGGGAGGCAGCAGCUAAGAAUCUUCCGCAAUGGGCGAAAGCCUGACGGAGCGAUGCCGCGUGAUCGAUGAAGGUCGAGAGAUUGUAAAGAUCUUUUCUACAUGAGGAAUAAGUCUGGGAGGGAAUGCCUGGAUGAUGACGUUAGUGUAGGAAUAAGCCCCGGCUAAUUACGUGCCAGCAGCCGCCGCGG
rnacentral:rRNA from 1 species